CCUACGGGGGGCUGCAGUCGAGAAUCUUCGUCAAUGGGCGAAAGCCUGAACGAGCGACGCCGCGUGCGGGAUGAAGGCCCUUGGGUUGUAAACCGCUGUCGAGGGGGAUGCAGAGCCCUGGAGGAAGCACGGGCUAAGUUCGUGCCAGCAGCCGCGGUAAUACGAACUGUGCGAACGUUAUUCGGAAUCACUGGGCUUACAGGGUGCGUAGGCGGCUUUUCAAGUCAGGUGUGAAAGCCCCCGGCUCAACCGGGGAACUGCGCUUGAAACUGAAAGGCUCGAGUCAGCUAGAGGUACACGGAACUUCCAGUGGAGCGGUGAAAUGUGUUGAUAUUGGAAGGAACACCGGAGGCGAAAGCGGUGUACUGGGGCUGUCUGACGCUGAGGCACGAAAGCCAGGGGAGCGAACGGGAUUAGAUACCCUUGUAGUC
rnacentral:rRNA from 1 species